CCUUGACUGCUGCAUUUACUACUCUCCCGUUUCCAAGUCUCCCUUCCUCGAGAUUUUCUUCUCCAUUCACGCUUCUCCCAUUCCAACGACUGCCACCUCAACUGUGUCCAAUCAAUUUUCUUCCCCUCCACUCCCUUGCCUCCCAGACCUUUCUUUUUCUCAAUGUUUUCUCAUUUCCCGUGAUAUACUGUUCUCUCCCCUCAUCUCCAUAUCCGGAUUCUUUCUCUUCAGGAGAAUGAAGAAUUUGAAAGAACAAUUCUUUCCCACCCAUCAUCAUCCUCUUCCCCUCCAUCCGUUCUCUGUCUCUCUGUCGCGUUCGCAUUCCCCCCACCAGCGCCACCACGAGUUACGCAUCUCGAAGAUCUGUUUUCUUGAUGCGGUUCCAUAUCUGGUGAGGGAAGCAAGGUCGAUGACUCAAUUGGAGAGGUACCGGAAAUCUUUCCUCGGCGGAAACCAUCCCCGUCGGAAAUCUCAUCGGUGGCCACACACACACGCGACGAUGGCUCUUCCACCCGGGAAGCUCACCAUUCUCCUCGGUGCAGGUCUUUCAACGGGUGAUGAACAGAGGUGAGGAAAACUGGAAAAGAUAAGAAAAUAGUUUGGGUCUCUAUUUUGGAAAACCGGAAUGGUUCAACGAGCUACGUUCCGCCGCUGCCUCUCUGAGAACUUCCACUUAAUGCGUGUUCCAGCGCUUGCAUUUUGGCUGCAAAAAGUUGAUUGUAUUGGUUGAUGCUGAAAAGAGAUAAGUUCCAAAGAGAUAGAUGACAUGCCCAAAGCAGAAAUCAUUUGCUUUCAAGGACAAUAACAUUGAGGUUUUUAGGGAUCCAUGCCUGAUGGGAAGUUAAAAAAAUACUUAUCAUGGCUAUAUUUUCUGUUAAUGGACCAACCCAAUUAUACUCUGUUUGAGGAAUCAUUAAGUGCACGCCCAGUAAAAAGUCAGAAGUACUAGGAAGUAAAAUUUGUUCUUGAGCCAAGAAGCUCGCUACUGCUCUUGCGGUAGGGAAAGAAGAUGCAGCCACUUCUUCCGCAGGCAGGGGCAAAGUAAUGGUUUUUGGGGUUUAAAUGAGAGAAAACUCACUUGAGGUCCAUGCCCAAUGGGCGGAACGGGUGAUGAACAGAGGUGAGGAAAACUGGAAAAGAUAAUAAAAUAGUUUUGGGUCUCUAUUUUGGAAAACCGGAAUGGUCCGACGAGCUAUGUUCCGCCGCUGCCUCCCUGAGAUCUUCCCCUAAAUGCAUGUUCCAAUGCUUGCAUUUUGUUCACUUUUGUAACGGAUUCACGAGCAGACGAAAGAAUUAGAGGGUGGUUCUUUGUGUUAAGGAUUCAUAGUUUUUGUUUUCUGCAGGAUAUUGAGAAAGAUCUGAAAAGGUCUGCAAGCAACAUUAUCUUCUACAAUGGUUUAAGAGACCCUUGGAGUGGUGGAGGGGUGUUGAAGAAUAUAUCAAAAACUUUAGUUGCUAUAGUUGCAAAAGAAGGUGUUUUGUGUACUGCAGGGGCUCAUCAUAGAGAUCUAAGGUACUCAACUAAGGAAGAUCCAAAGUGGCUUAAAGAUGUAAGGAUAAAAGAGGUCUAAAUCAGUGCAAGUUGGAUCUCACAGUACUAUCAAGAUUGACAUUCUUAUAAUAAUUAUGUAGAUGAUCUUUCAUUAUUAUGUGACUUAUUAUGUGACUUUUAUAAUUAAGAAGAAGUGACCCAGGUGACUAUGAGGUAAGAUUCCAGUAUGCUUUAUCAUGUUAUCAUUUAAUGUAAGGGGGAACCUAGAUUGAUUUGUAUUGCAAUAUUUUUUAAAAAAGUUUUCUGCGAUCGGUUGUUGAUGGAAUUGGUUCACAUAGAAUUGUGUAAUGAAUGAUUCUACUUUUUUUUUUCUGAUUUUUUCUUUGUAAUAAUCACGUAACACAGAUGCCAUCAGAGUUCUUUCUUGGCGAGUGGCUAUGAAUUGAAUUAAUGAACUCACAUCCUUUGUACUAUUCCAUUGCAACCCUGCUUAAUAGUUUAUGACUCCUUUUUUGUGGGCAUGCAGUAAAAUGGUGUUUAUGUUAUUUUAUGCAAUGAGUGUUUUGUCCAACUGUGGGGGUUUGUUUUUUGCGAGAAGUUUUAUGUUUUCAUUGUCUUGAGGGCUUUUUUUUUUCUUUGCUGUUUUUGAUGAUUGAAGCAGCUUACUAAGGUGUCCGAACAGGAUGGAAAUUCAGGGUAUUCCAUGCAGAUUUUGUAUGGAAAACUUUUUGUUAUUGCUUCUGUUCUUUGAUUCUAUUUUUCAUUUUCAAAAUUCAAAUUUAACUCUUUCUUUAAUUGAUUUUAGUGGGUUGGAUUUUGCUAAUCUAAUUUUUGUUAGGUUGAUUUAAAACUACUCAAACUGCUGCAAUGUUUGGGCUAUUAUUCUGUCUGAUUAUUGAUAUGUGUUUUGGGAUCAAUUUUGAUUGGUAUAUUUGAGACAAUCAAUUGAUAUAAUUAAUUAUUGAUAUGUUUUUCAGAGCUUAUUUUUCAAUAUAACUAAAAGUCUUUUCAGUCUUUUUACUAAGCUAUUUUUGUAGGUUUUUGUAUACAGGUUGUCUGCAAUACAGUUGCAGGUGUAGGUAUUUGAGUUUAUGUUGCUCCGCUGCAUUUUUUUUAUUUAUAGCAAGAAGGUUAUAUUUUCAAGCCCCACUAAAAGAACUUUUACAAUUCUUCCGUAUAUUUUUCUCUGUUUAGGCUAUCCCUCACAAAAAUUUAUCGUCUUCUAUUUUGGAUAUGCAGGUUGAUCUCCAUUAUAAAAAAAAAUGUACUCAGAGGAGCGAAAAGAAGUGAAUUUUUCAGUCAUAAAACUGAUAAAAGAGCAAGAAGGGAGGAAUUGAAUGAUUAUCAGAAAUAGAUUGGGGUGCAAUUUCAAAGGAUUUGGAGAGAUAGCAAGUUCAUAAAAAGAAUUGAAUAUUCAGAGGCUUCAGCAUUAGAAGUUCACCAUAAUAAAGUUAAAAUAUGGAAAUGAUCAUUGUACGAAUCUGAUUGCAAAUAUAAGGAAAGUUGUGAUGUUUUAUGGUUACUUA